UAUAUGCAAAACUAUGUACAAAAGUGGGACUUAUUUGUUAUUAUUUGUAGUAAAAUUAAUUGGACAUUGCUUUACAUUUGGAUCAAUUUCAACAUUUUAAGAGUAAAUAGUAAUUACUAGUUUUAUAGCAUAUUACAUACAGUAGAUUUCAGGUAUUGUUUUACCUUUUUGGCGCCCCCUAAAGGCCGGGGCGCCCUUAGCAUCAGCCAAUAUUGCCUAAUGCAAUUACAGUAGCCGCUCGCUACAUCGCGGUUCAAAUAUCGCUCGCAUAUUCUAUCACGUUUUAAAAAAAAAUGUAUUAGUAAAUAAUGCGUUCCGUGGUGGACUGUGGUCAAAAAAUACUGAAAGUUAAUGUAGUAUUCUGGCCACUAGGCGUCAGUAAUGACACAAAACAUUGAUGAGACGUGUUGUUACAUUGUUGCAUGUGGUCAGCCAUGGCAUGUCCGACAUGAAAAAAAAGUCCUCCUCCUAUUCCGAGUGAAAGUGCGAGCCAAUGAAGAACAAGCUGCGGGCCGCAAAUGACCCCCUGGCCACACUUUGGCCCCCCAUGAGAAAGCAGCCAACAACCAAAAACAGAUUUUGAAGCACGCUAGACGAUGAAAGGACCCUCAACAUCUCGACUGUGACCUUGACCUCCAAAUGUCUCUAAUUAAGCAUUGUGCUCCUUUCAGUGUGAAAUGUUCAGCUGAUACCAUUUGACGACCAAUUAAAAACCUCUCCCAGCCCCGCCCCCAUUUACUGUUUACAGCCU